rnacentral:lncRNA from 1 species
CUGUAACAUAGAGGCUUUCUACGGCACUAAAAAUGCUCUGUAUGAUACUAGAAUGAGGGACACAUGUCAUUAUACAUUUGGCCACACCAAUACAAAGUAUGACGCUAAGAGUGAGCCCUAAUGUAAACUAUGAGCUUUGGGUGAUUAUGAUGUGUUAAUGUAGGUUCAUCAAUUGUGACAAAUGUACCACUCUGGUGGGGGAUGUUAAUAAUGGAGAGGCUAUACUUGUAAGUAAUAUAAUGUAUGAAUAGGAUAAUGGUAAACAGCACAAAUGGCUAUAGAAUAAGAGACGAGAGAUUCCUUUUAAGAGCAAGCUUUGUGUAGACUUGGAAAAUAGAGCUUCAAUUGUCCAGAAAAUUUUAUAACAACUUGUGUCUACAAAUUUAAGUCAAAUUUUGACAUGGACGUUUUGCGGCAAGGACUCACGGCCUUUCAGCUACACUAGAUGUUACAGGAUCAUAUGAGGGACGCGUGUGUAAAAUCAUCUGAGGAAAGUACACUCUGCUCUCUGAAGCCUCUUAGAGCCGCUUCCCUGCUGAGAUGCCUCACACUCACAAAGCUUGGUGUUUGCAGGGUAUGUCACUCAGAAAAAAAGACGUUGCUGCAGACAUCUGUAGCUUGGCUGAUAACAGCAAAAAGCUUUCUGCAGUUGUCAUCCAACUUGGGGUCCAGAGGAUUCUCACAAUUCCAUCAGGGAGUGUUGAGAGAACUGUUUCAGGAAUACGCUGCUUGACACCUCUUCACCUUCAUUGACCAAAGUCUUCUGGACGAAUCUAUAGCUACUGACAAUCACUGAAGACUGCCUUGGAGAAGUCAUGUGGAGAUUGGCUGAGCACCAGUCUCCAUAAGAACCGCAGGUGAGAAGUCCUCGACAGGCCCAAAUCCCAAACUGCAGGAGAAAGUCUUCUGAGGAUGGGGACAGUCGGGGCAGAGACACAAGUCAUCUUCUCCAUAAACAGCUGUUAAUCACCACCCCCAUCGCCAAGAUUUGCCUUUUUUUCUUCCAAUUUUAUUUAUGGACUCACUUCUGGUAGUUGGGGAAAGACGAAACCAGCUCUUUGGUUUUCUUCAUUGUUUUAGUCUUAUAUCUUGCAGGAUAUUGUAGAGUUAGAUAUUGUAGAGUUUAGCUAUCUGCAUUUUGGGAAUUGUCCUCCACAAAUAAAGGUGGAGAUGGAUGCAAAGGAAGGAAAGAUGACCUAGAAGUAGUAGCUGACAUCUUGAGAUAUUAUAAUGGAGUAACCGCAAAUGUCAGUCCUUUAGAGCUCCGACAAUUGACAGUGUGGUACUGACAAAAUAAUCAAUGAGCAGGAAAAUGGAAUAUGCACUGAUGUAUCUCUGAAUUAAGUAUAUGCUGAUGGAAGUAUUACAAUACAAUUUUGAAGGGAUACCUCUAUUUAGUAAAUGGUAUAGGAAAAAAGUUGUCUCCAGACACACUGAAGAAUUACAGGGAAGAAAAAUAUUGAUGGAAAAAAACUUUAUUGAUUUUUUCUCAAAUAAAUAAUAUUUCGCUAUGAAAGUGAAAUAUCUUUAUUUUCUGAGACUUAGAUAAAUGAAUCUCAGAAAAUUUACCACACCAAGACCACUUUUGAAAUUACUCUUGGAGAAAGAAUUCCAUCAAAAAGAGA